rnacentral:tRNA from 1 species
CACCUGACUUUUAAUCAGGGUGUCACAGGUUCGAUUCCUGUAUGGCUCACCA